rnacentral:hammerhead_ribozyme from 1 species
GUCCAACUGAUGAGUCCCAAAUAGGAUGAAACGUGCGUCCUGGGU